UACGGAGGGUGCAAGCGUUGUCCGGAAUCACUGGGCGUAAAGCGCGCGUAGGCGGGUCAGUCAGUCAGGGGUGAAAUCCCGGGGCUCAACCUCGGAACUGCCUUUGAUACUGCUGACCUAGAGAUCGAGAGAGGUGAGUGGAAUUCCUAGUGUAGAGGUGAAAUUCGUAGAUAUUAGGAAGAACACCAGUGGCGAAGGCGGCUCACUGGCUCGAUUCUGACGCUGAGGUGCGAAAGCGUGGGGAGCAAACAGG
rnacentral:misc_RNA from 1 species